CAGGAUGAACGCUAGCGGCAGGCCUAACACAUGCAAGCCGAGGGGUAAGUCUCUUUNCGGGAGAACACGACCGGCGCACGGGUGAGUAACGCGUAUGCAACCUACCUUUGGCACGGGGACAGCCCGGGUUGAAACCCGGAUUAAUACCCGGUAUAGUCUAUUAUACACCUGUAUAAAAGACGAGAGCUACGGCGGCCAAAGAUGGGCAUGCGUGCCAUUAGUUAGUUGGUAGGGUAACGGCCUACCAAGGCAUCGAUGGCUACGGGGUCUAAAAGGAUGAGCCCGCACACUGGUACUGAGACACGGACCAGACUCCUACGGGAGGCAGCAGUGAGGAAUAUUGGUCAAUGGGUGGAAGCCUGAACCAGCCAUGCCGCGUGCAGGAAGACGGCCUUAUGGGUUGUAAACUGCUUUUCUACGGGACGAACGGCUCUGACGUGUCAGAGAUUGACGGUACCGUAGGAAUAAGCAUCGGCUAACUCCGUGCCAGCAGCCGCGGUAAUACGGAGGAUGCGAGCGUUAUCCGGAUUUAUUAGGUUUAAAGGGUGCGUAGGCUGGGCAAUAAGUCAGUGGUGAAAGUCCGCGGCUCAACCGUGGGAUUGCCAUUGAAACUGUUGUUCUUGAGUACAGUCGAGGUAGGCGGAAUGUGUAAUGUAGCGGUGAAAUGCAUAGAUNUUACCCAGAACACCGAUUGCGUAGGCAGCUUACCAGCCUGGAACUGACGCUGAUGCACGAAAGCGUGGGGAGCGAACAGGAUUAGAUACCCUG
rnacentral:rRNA from 1 species